CCCCCUGUAGUCUCAGCUAGUGGGGACGCGGGAGGAUCACUUGAGCCCAGGAGUUCUGGGCUGUAGUGUGCAGUGCUGAUAGCAGGUGUCUGCACGAAGUUCGGUAUCAAUACGGUGACCUCCCUGGAGCAGAGGACCACCAGAGUGCCUAAAGAGAGGUGAACUAGCCCAGUCUAGAAACUGAGCAGGUCAAAACUUUCAUCUCAUCAGUAGUGGGGAUCCCUGUGAAUAGCCACUGUACUCCAGCUUGGGCAAAGUAGCAAGACCCUGUCUCUA
ensembl:misc_RNA Metazoa_SRP Metazoan signal recognition particle RNA